rnacentral:rRNA from 1 species
AGAGUUUCUUUCUGGCUCAGGAUGAACGCUGGCGGCGUGCUUAACACAUGCAAGUCGAACGAAGCACCUGAGAAUGAUUCUUCGGAUGAAGUAUCUUGUGACUGAGUGGCGGACGGGUGAGUAACGCGUGGGUAACCUGCCUCACACAGGGGGAUAACAGUUGGAAACGACCGCUAAUACCGCAUAACCCGCUGGUGCCGCAUGGCACUGACGGAAAAGAUUUUAUCGGUGUGAGAUGGACCCGCGUCUGGUUAGCCAGUUGGCAGGGUAACGGCCUACCAAAGCGACGAUCAGUAGCCGGCCUGAGAGGGUGAACGGCCACAUUGGGACUGAGACACGGCCCAGACUCCUGCGGGAGGCAGCAGUGGGGAAUAUUGCACAAUGGGGGAAACCCUGAUGCAGCGACGCCGCGUGAGUGAAGAAGUAUUUCGGUAUGUAAAGCUCUAUCAGCAGGGAAGAAAAUGACGGUACCUGAUUAAGAAGCCCCGGCUAACUACGUGCCAGCAGCCGCGGUAAUACGUAGGGGGCAAGCGUUAUCCGGAUUUACUGGGUGUAAAGGGAGCGUAGACGGUGAUGCAAGUCAGAAGUGAAAGCCCGGGGCUCAACUCCGGGACUGCUUUUGAAACUGUGUGACUGGAGUGCAGGAGAGGUAAGCGGAAUUCCUUGUGUAGCGGUGGAAUGCGUAGAUAUAUGGAAGAACACCAGUGGCGAAGGCGGCUGUCUGGUCUGCAACUGACGCUGAGGCUCGAAAGCAUGGGUAGCGAACAGGAUUAGAUACCCUGGUAGUCCAUGCCGUAAACGAUGAGUGCUAGGUGUUGGAAGGGUUUCCCCCCUCCAGUGCCGGAGCUAACGCAUU